rnacentral:rRNA from 1 species
GCAUAUCAAUAAGCGGAGGAAAAGAAACCAACAGGGAUUGCCCUAGUAACGGCGAGUGAAGCGGCAACAGCUCAAAUUUGAAAUCUGGCUUCGGCCCGAGUUGUAAUUUGUAGAGGAAGCUUUUGGCGAGGUACCUUCUGAGUCCACUGGAACGUGGCGCCAUAGAGGGUGAGAGCCCCGUAUAGUUGGAUACCUCUGCCUCUGUAAAGCUCCUUCGACGAGUCGAGUAGUUUGGGAAUGCUGCUCAAAAUGGGAGGUAAAUUUCUUCUAAAGCUAAAUACUGGCCAGAGACCGAUAGCGCACAAGUAGAGUGAUCGAAAGAUGAAAAGCACUUUGAAAAGAGGGUUAAACAGCACGUGAAAUUGUUGAAAGGGAAGCGCUUGUGAUCAGACUUGCGCCGGGCGGAUCAUCCGGUGUUCUCACCGGUGCACUCCGCCCGGCUCAGGCCAGCAUCGGUUCUCGUGGGGGGAUAAAGGCUCGGGGAACGUGGCUCCUCCGGGAGUGUUAUAGCCCCGGGCGCAACGCCCUCGCGGGGACCGAGGUUCGCGCAUCUGCAAGGAUGCUGGCGUAAUGGUCACCAGCGACCCGUCUUGAAACACGGACCAAGGAGUCAAGGUUUUGCGCGAGUGUUUGGGUGUUAAACCCGCACGCGUAAUGAAAGUGAACGUAGGUGAGAGCUUCGGCGCAUCAUCGACCGAUCCUGAUGUAUUCGGAUGGAUUUGAGUAGGAGCGUUAAGCCUUGGACCCGAAAGAUGGUGAACUAUGCUUGGAUAGGGUGAAGCCAGAGGAAACUCUGGUGGAGGCUCGCAGCGGUUCUGACGUGCAAAUCGAUCGUCAAAUCUGAGCAUGGGGGGCGAAAGACUAAUCGAACCAUCUAGUAGCUGGUUACCGACCGAAG